GAAUCGCGAUAAGUAAUGUGAAUUGCAGAUUUUCCGUGAAUCAUCGAAUCUUUGAACGCACCUUGCGCUCCUUGGUAUUCCGAGGAGCAUGCCUGUUUGAGUGUCAUCGAAAUCUCAAACCAAGCCUUCUUUUUUUGACUUCGGUCGAGGGCUCGGGUUUGGAUCGUUGGGAGUCUGCGGGCGACGCACGUCGUCGGCUCUCCUGAAAUGCAUUAGCGGUGGGCAUGCAAGUCUUGCUUGGCACCAGCCUCUCCCGGCGUCAUAAUGAUCGUCGCGGGCUUGCCAGCUGCAAGGGACGUGUCCCAUGCUUCUCCAACUUUGCGAGCCCCCCCACCCCUCCUCUCCUGGGCGCUCUGCAUUCGAAGGCUUGACCUCAAAUCAGGUAGGACUACCCGCUGAACUUAA
rnacentral:rRNA from 1 species